UUCGCAGUGCACGCACAGGGAGCUUGCUCCCGACCAUGCUGCGAGGAAAGUCCCCGUGCCUCAGGGCAGAGAGUGCCAGCAGGAAACUGCGAAGCCAUGGUCAGUCGUCACGGAGAUGCCUCUGGCAUAGUUCCAGCGCCUGAUCGUGGUUGUUUGCAGCAGCACAGCAAUGUCGUGAACGUCCGGCCUAGGACGCCAACUGAACGGGGCUCACUCUCCU
rnacentral:RNase_MRP_RNA from 1 species